rnacentral:rRNA from 1 species
GACAGAGGGUGCAACCGUUGUUCGGAAUUACUGGGCGUAAAGCGCGUGUAGGCGGCUGCGUGUGUCGGGCGUGAAAUCCCAUGGCUCAACCAUGGAAGUGCACCCGAAACUGCGUAGCUAGAGUCCUGGAGAGGAAGGUGGAAUGCUUGGUGUAGAGGUGAAAUUCGUAGAUAUCAAGCGGAACACCGGUGGCGAAGGCGGCCUUCUGGACAGUGACUGACGCUGAGACGCGAAAGCGUGGGGAGCAAACAGG